rnacentral:rRNA from 1 species
AUACGUAGGUGGCAAGCGUUGUCCGGAUUUACUGGGCGUAAAGAGUAUGUAGGCGGAUAUUUAAGUCAGAUGUGAAAUUCCCGGGCUUAACCUGGGAGCUGCAUUUGAUACUGGAUAUCUAGAGUGCGGGAGAGGAAAGUGGAAUUCCUAGUGUAGCGGUGAAAUGCGUAGAGAUUAGGAAGAACACCAGUGGCGAAGGCGUACUUUCUGGACCGUAACUGACGCUGAGAUAACGAAAGCGGUGGGGAGAC